rnacentral:rRNA from 1 species
AUUGAACGCUGGCGGCAUGCCUUACACAUGCAAGUCGAACGGCAGCACGGAGCUUGCUCUGGUGGCGAGUGGCGAACGGGUGAGUAAUAUAUCGGAACGUACCCUAGAGUGGGGGAUAACGUAGCGAAAGUUACGCUAAUACCGCAUACGAUCUAAGGAUGAAAGUGGGGGAUCGCAAGACCUCAUGCUCGUGGAGCGGCCGAUAUCUGAUUAGCUAGUUGGUAGGGUAAAAGCCUACCAAGGCAUCGAUCAGUAGCUGGUCUGAGAGGACGACCAGCCACACUGGAACUGAGACACGGUCCAGACUCCUACGGGAGGCAGCAGUGGGGAAUUUUGGACAAUGGGCGAAAGCCUGAUCCAGCAAUGCCGCGUGAGUGAAGAAGGCCUUCGGGUUGUAAAGCUCUUUUGUCAGGGAAGAAACGGUGAAAGCUAAUAUCUUUUGCUAAUGACGGUACCUGAAGAAUAAGCACCGGCUAACUACGUGCCAGCAGCCACGGUAAUACGUAGGGUGCAAGCGUUAAUCGGAAUUACUGGGCGUAAAGCGUGCGCAGGCGGUUUUGUAAGUCUGAUGUGAAAUCCCCGGGCUCAACCUGGGAAUUGCAUUGGAGACUGCAAGGCUAGAAUCUGGCAGAGGGGGGUAGAAUUCCACGUGUAGCAGUGAAAUGCGUAGAUAUGUGGAGGAACACCGAUGGCGAAGGCAGCCCCCUGGGUCAAGAUUGACGCUCAUGCACGAAAGCGUGGGGAGCAAACAGGAUUAGAUACCCUGGUAGUCCACGCCCUAAACGAUGUCUACUAGUUGUCGGGUCUUAAUUGACUUGGUAACGCAGCUAACGCGUGAAGUAGACCGCCUGGGGAGUACGGUCGCAAGAUUAAAACUCAAAGGAAUUGACGGGGACCCGCACAAGCGGUGGAUGAUGUGGAUUAAUUCGAUGCAACGCGAAAAACCUUACCUACCCUUGACAUGGCUGGAAUCCUUGAGAGAUCAGGGAGUGCUCGAAAGAGAACCAGUACACAGGUGCUGCAUGGCUGUCGUCAGCUCGUGUCGUGAGAUGUUGGGUUAAGUCCCGCAACGAGCGCAACCCUUGUCAUUAGUUGCUACGAAAGGGCACUCUAAUGAGACUGCCGGUGACAAACCGGAGGAAGGUGGGGAUGACGUCAAGUCCUCAUGGCCCUUAUGGGUAGGGCUUCACACGUCAUACAAUGGUACAUACAGAGCGCCGCCAACCCGCGAGGGGGAGCUAAUCGCAGAAAGUGUAUCGUAGUCCGGAUUGUAGUCUGCAACUCGACUGCAUGAAGUUGGAAUCGCUAGUAAUCGCGGAUCAGCAUGUCGCGGUGAAUACGUUCCCGGGUCU